rnacentral:rRNA from 1 species
CCCCACUGCUAUCGGGGUGGGACUAAAACAUGCAAGUCGAGCGCCUCCAAGCUAUGGUGAAGGCGCGGCAAACGGCUCAGUAACACGUGGCCAACCUACCCUUGGGACGGAGACAACCCCGGGAAACUGGGGCUAAUCCCCGAUAGGUAAGGAAUCCUGGAAUGGAUCUUUGCUGAAAGGGCGUCUAGACCAUGCUUCUUGACGUCGCCCAAGGAUGGAGCCGCGACCGAUCAGGUAGUUGGCGAGGCAACGGCUCACCAAGCCUAUAACCGGUACGGGCCGUGAGAGCGGGAGCCCGGAGAUGGGCACUGAGACAAGGGCCCAGGCCCUACGGGGCGCAGCAGUUGCGAAAACUCCGCAAUGCGCGAAAGCGUGACGGGGCUACCCCGAGUGCCGCCCGUUGAGGGCGGCUUUUCCACGGUGUAAGGAGCCGUGGGAAUAAGGAGAGGGCAAGACUGGUGUCAGCCGCCGCGGUAAUACCAGCUCUCCGAGUGGUGGGGACGAUUAUUGGGCUUAAAGCGUUCGUAGCCGGCUUAACAAGUCUUCCGUUAAAUCCAACGAUCUAAUCGUUGGGCUGCGGGAGAUACUGUUGGGCUAGGAGGCGGGAGAAGCCGACGGUAUUCUUGGGGUAGGGGUGAAAUCCUGUAAUCCCGGGAGGACCACCAGUGGCGAAGGCGGUCGGCUAGAACGCGCUCGACGGUGAGGGACGAAAGCUGGGGGAGCGAACCGGAUUAGAAACCCGGGUAGUCCCAGCUGUAAACGAUGCGGGCUAGGUGUUGGGGUGGCCACGAGCCACCUCAGUGCCGCAUGGAAGCAAUUAAGCCCGCCGCCUGGGGAGUACGGCCGCAAGGCUGAAACUUAAAGGAAUUGGCGGGGGAGCACCACAAGGCGUGAAGCUUGCGGUUU